rnacentral:rRNA from 1 species
AACGAACGCUGGCGGCAUGCCUAACACAUGCAAGUCGAACGACACCUUCGGGUCUAGUGGCGCACGGGUGCGUAACGCGUGGGAACCUGCCCUUAGGUUCGGAAUAACUCCCCGAAAGGGGUGCUAAUACCGGAUAAUGUCUUCGGACCAAAGAUUUAUCGCCUUUGGAUGGGCCCGCGUUGGAUUAGCUAGUUGGUAGGGUAAAAGCCUACCAAGGCGACGAUCCAUAGCCGGUCUGAGAGGAUGAUCAGCCACACUGGGACUGAGACACGGCCCAGACUCCUACGGGAGGCAGCAGUGGGGAAUAUUGGGCAAUGGGCGAAAGCCUGAUCCAGCAAUGCCGCGUGAGUGAUGAAGGCCUUAGGGUUGUAAAGCUCUUUUACCCGGGAUGAUAAUGACAGUACCGGGAGAAUAAGCUCCGGCUAACUCCGUG